GAGCGAGCGGCGGGUGUCCCUGAGAGGCCACCUUUCGACCUUCGAGGGCCAGGAGGAUACGGGGAGGUGGCCGGAGGGAGUUCCCGAACACAGGUCUUCCUGUUCCCGCCGAGCAGGUGUUGGCGGUGCCAGGCCCGGCCUGGCGGGCCCGGGCUGGCAGCCAAAUACCCAGCGUCUGUGCUCGGGACGGGAGUGUUCGUCCAGGACGUGCAGCUCCGGAGCCUGCGCGGGCGACCUUGACCACCUUUGUCGGCUGUUUCCCCCUGAGGGAAGUAUACCUGUCCUGCCAGCCUUGGUCUCUGGCAGGGAAGGUCCUUCCAACAGAGAGGGAAUUGCUUAGAAUUGACUCAACACUGCCUCCUUGCUGAAUGGAUAAUUCAAGCAAACAACUCAAGAGCUGGAUGCUGCCCAGACAGAAGUCCUCCUAGCAUCUUUCUUCUGCCUUCCCCUGCUCCUGUCCCUGAAACCUUUUCUUCAAAAGAAGUGGAAAAGAGGAACUGGGAACCCAUAUAGCAACAGCAUCACCUGGAAUGAAUUCCUUUAGAACAUACUGUCUUGGAAAUCUGAAGCCUGCAGGGCUGGACAGGCAAGAAGAGCAGUGAGCACUGCAUGAACCUUUCUCUCCUUCCCUCCCUUACGUAUGACUCCUCCCAUAAUCCGCACACAUGGAUUGAACCAAGUGAGGGUAUUUUUCUGUUUCCUACCUCAUAGAAGGGCAUAGAGUGGACACGGUCUAAGGCAUGUACUCCGAAAUAUUUUUCAAAUGGAAAAGAAAACAGAGAACACAAUUUUCAAAAUAUCUAGAGCCCUCCAAGAAGUCUUUGUAGAGAUCUAUAAAAUCUCAAGGCAAUUUAAAGAAAAAUGUUUUAGAAACACUAUUCUCUCCACAUCCUGGGGCAGCAGCCUUCUCCAAAGAAACAGAAAGAAGGAAAUGGAUUGCCUUAGCAAAAAAACAAAUGAAGACACUCCAAAUAACAGAAGAAUGGGAAGGCUACAGACCUUGAAGUCAGAAGAAAAUUUCCUCUCCUUGCCCCGUUUCUCCUUAAAUGGAUCACCAGUACAGUCUCUUACUUCUAGAGCCAUGUUAAGCUUUCUUCCCCAAAGUUGUAAUGUCCUUCUUUUGGUUGUGUCGUGUCCUAAAAUCCUACUCUUUGGUACAAGAUGAAGGUAUAUGAAGAGAUAAUGAAGGAAACAAAUUCAAUGUGUUUGCCAAGAACACAGUCUUUUAAAUAACUCUUAAAGGGUUCGUUUAAAACAGUGUAAUAAAUUGUGGUAAUCUAGUACACAAAGCUAGUAGGAACCUCGUUUAUUAAUAAUAUUUCAACAUUGAGCAGUAGAGGGCAGCACUAUCCUUCUUUUGCAAAAUGUUGAGCACUCUUGAGAAGGAAAAUAAAGGCAAAGCUCCUGA
rnacentral:lncRNA from 1 species